rnacentral:lncRNA from 1 species
UCGUUGUAGUUUAGGCAGCAUUGAAGAGAAGUUUCUGUGCCAUAGCCCUCCACUUCUGUAGGAGGGACCUUUCAGGAUUGUGAGAGAAGGGCAAAGUCUUGCUAGCGGACCCACUCUUUAUGUAGGAUUUCUGUUUCCUUUAAGCAUGUUAUUUGAUUAUAUGCAUUUCUCUGAUGAGUUUAUUUAAAAUUCAUUUUCUAAGAGCCUCUCAAGAUGUGUUGAAGUAUGGCCACAGGUGGUUGGGAAGAUUAUUUACCUAUUAAUGGUGAUGAGUGGGGACAUAAUGCACGGGGAGACAGAAAGGCUUAGGAAAUUAGUUCAUGGCAAUGCAGUGUAGGCUUGAAGAGAGAGUCGUUUCCAUCCUUGUCAGAUGAACAGGUGCUGAAAUUGGGGCUAGGACAAAAACAUAUCCUGGAGACGUGACAGUACUUCCCAAAUGAUGACAAGAGGCUACUCCAAACCGCAGCAACAAAAAAGCCCACCUGGAGAUAUUUUAAUGACUCAGAGUUGAGGCUAAUUUUCUAUGUGCUAUUGAAAUCAUCUUUUCUAUAUAAACAUCUGCUGUUCCUUCCAUAAGGGCUGCCUGAAAUUGCCACUGGAUGAUGAGAACUUGAAUGGCAAAAUCCUGACCUCAGACACACUGAUGAGGAUAAGGUUCAGCCUCGGAAAACUGGAUGCCCAAUGGGUGCCUGGGUGAUGAACGAGAAUAGACUGACUCUACAAAUCCACCCCCCUCACCUACAGCUCACCUGUGGAGGAGGGACGGUGGGGUCAAGAGGACACUGAAAAAUUCUCAAAUGUGAAAUUCUGCAAAUUCGAGAAUAGUCUUAAGUCAGAAGAAGAUGAAUAUUCAAAUUUGCAUGGGGAAGACUGCACAUGAUGGGGAAGGAAGAGAGAAGAACACUUUUAGCUGAAGCUCUGCAUAUUGCACGACUCUCCCACUCCCUGCGAAGUUCUAGAAGCAGCUGUUGGAGAAGUCAGGUUCUAUGCAGGCAGAUGAGUGCCACAGCUGUAACUGAGGCACAGAGCAAUAAACAUAGUGGAACCAAUUUCCACGAUGGCGAGAGGGGGCACCGGAGGUGACAACAAUGACAAGGACCCAAGGACCGUCCUUCUGACAAGUUUUAGGUAAGAAAAUAUUUAUGCCCCGAUUCUUGUAUUUUUACAUCUUUGUGGCUGAGAGAGACAUUGAGACAUAAAGCGAGUCUCGAGAGGGAAAUAUUUUUGUGAGGGGAUCAUCUGUGCUGUCACUCGCCUGCAAACCUGUGUUCUCAGGGCUUUGUGUUAUUAGGAUCGUCGGAGGCGAGGUGUGAGCGGGCUGGGUGGAAGGGUGAGCUGCUUUUUAUGUCUGUCUGGUGACAUUUAUCAUGCUGUUUAAAUUCAUAUCGGGGAAAAAUUCUGUUUGAUGAUAGUUAGCAAUGUUUUGUGCAAAGUAGAGCAUAUGGCCAUGUAGAAUUUAAGCGAUGCUCUUUCAUUCUUAAUUUGUAAUUAUUUUUACACUCAACUGUACUGAGGUCAGAGAGUUUUAAAAAUUAAUGAGAUUCCCUGUGGAGUUCAAAUAGUAAUGUCUACGUGAGCUGCCACAAAAAGAUAAGAUUAUGCUGGCAUAUUUUUAACAUAGAUUUAACUUUCUUAUCUUGAACAUACUCCAUUUGAAAUAUAUGAAUUGUGCAAUAGUUUAUGGAAGCCUAAGUAUUUUGGGAUAUUAGUCCUUAAAAAAUUUUUUUUGGUGACCUAGAGAAAUGUUGUCAAAAUUAGACUGUAGAAGAUUAAUAUUUUCUGUGGAGAUAUUGCUAAAACUUAAUAGACAUUAUUGUUAUGGUAAUGGAGAAUACCGUAUACUUUCGAGGAAAUGACAAAUAAUGAAUGAGCCACAUGCUAAAAAAAUCUGCAAACGUGCUUUCAUCUUAAGUAAUAUAUAAAAAUUCAGGAGACAUUUAGGGUGAAAAAUUUCUGGCAUGAACAAAGAAGCAAGUGAACACAUAGAUGAGAAUUCUUUGUCACAAAAAUGAAGCCAGUGCAUGGAUUCAGGGGGUUAAGCGAUUCCUACAUUCUCAGCACCCCACAAAAGGGGUGAGUCCAG